UAGAAACAUGGACGGGGAGGAUUGAGUUGUUUCUUCGAGAGAAUUUUGCCCGCAUUUUGGCUCCAUUUUACCGUUUCCUGAAACAGGAAUGGUAGUUAUGAAAUGCAAGACAUGUCUACACAAAGUAGAUGCAAAAACUGCAUCACAUGGUGUGGUCAUUCAUACCUGCGUCUCAACUCUGGCAGAACUGUUGAAGGUUGUCAUGAGGUCGUCAGCCAGAAAGACCUAGGACCACUGGCAUCAAGAGAUUGAAAACUCC